GUGUGUGUGUGGAUACCACCUACCCCGUGUGUGUGUGGAUACCACCUACCCCGUGUGCGUGUUGAGCAGACAGCAGUUCAGUAAUGCUGCAGUCCCCAGCUCGGCCAGGAGGAGGUGCUGCUCUGCCGUCGGGAGCUCCGUCUCUCCUUCCCCAGCGACUCACACUCACACCGCUCACACACACCUUCCUACUGGUGGCGGGCCGCCCCGAGACACGCUCCUCCGCUCUUUAGGAGCUCCUCCCACCUUCCUUCUGUGGGGGUUUUCCUUGGGAACGUGCUCUUUAGGGACGAGACUGUCCCUGGGAACGUGGUCUUUAGGGACGAGACUGUCCCUGGGAACGUGGUCUUUAGGGACGAGACUGUCCCUGGGAACGUGGUCUUUAGGGACGAGACUGUCCCUGGGAACGUGGUCUUUAGGGACGAGACUGUCCCUGGGGACGUGGUCUUUAGGGACGAGACUGUCCCUGGGAACGUGCUCUUUAGGGACGAGACUGUCCCUGGGAACGUGCUCUUUAGGGACGAGACUGUCCCUGGGAACGUGCUCUUUAGGGACGAGACUGUCCCUGGGGACGUGGUCUUUAGGGACGAGACUGUCCCUGGGGACGUGGUCUUUAGGGACGAGACUGUCCCUGGGAACGUGGUCUUUAGGGACGAGACUGUCCCUGGGGACGUGGUCUUUAGGGACGAGACUGUCCCUCCCGUUGUCGUGUGACCGUGUCUGGUCGACGCAGGGUGAACAUGUGGUGUCGUCGUGCAGUUUGUGUCUCUCUAGCCGUACGGCACAGCACCGUGUCAGACACCUCUCCUUCACGACCUCGGCCAGCCAAUCCUGUCCCACCGUCGCUGACACAAAAUGGCUGCCGUCCUCAGUUUCCUCCCCGGCCCUGUCUGGGUCAGUCUGCUCACAGGCAACCGCGGAGAACAGCUCCGGGCUUAGUUGCUCACCGACGCCAUCUUGGAUCGCCGAGCCUCCAUUCCGGCUCCUGUUACUCCUCAGACUGAUUGAUCCACGGGGAGUCGGCUCUUCACGGUUUCCUACCUCUGGUUGUCCCACUGCCUGGCCCAGGGACGACAGCUGGCGCAGCUCUGUGAGAGAGAGGGGGUCCUCUGGAACAUUGGGCUCCUCCUGGGUGGUGCUCAGAGAGAUGGGUGGACGGAGGGAGGAGGGAGGAGGAGGGAGGGCACGUGAGCUGGGGGUGGAGGAGAAGAGAGGUUUCCUGUGGCAGGAGCGCUCGGGCGACUCGUUCAGAGAGAUAUCUCGCAGGAAACCGUUACUGUUGGUUACUCCGCUGUUACCCAGGUCGGCCAAUGAGCUGUCAGCGUUGGCCAGGGCCCGGCGGCGCCCCUGUUUGGCACGGCGAGGGAAGGAACGCUGGACCCCUCCCCCUUCUUCUCUUCCACCCUGGACGAAGUCAUCAGAGGAGUUGAGGCUGAGCUGGGCUAGCAGGACCUGAGAAGACAAGAGACACACACAGAGACACACACAGAGAGAGAGACAGAGACAGACACAGAAAGAGACAGGGGUUAGGAUCUCUCAGGGGACACGAUGUAGCUCACAAUUUAUGACCAGAGCCACUGUGGAGAAGGGAUGGAUCAGACGAACGGGGCCUCGGGG
ensembl:lncRNA